GUUUCUGUGGCGCAAUCGGUUAGCGCGUUCGCGUUAACCUAAACGUUGGUGGUUCAAGCCCACCCAGGGACG
rnacentral:tRNA from 1 species